UACAGAGGGUGCUAGCGUUGUUCGGAAUCAUUGGGCGUAAAGAGCGUGUAGGCGGCUAUUUAAGUCCUGCGUGAAAUCCUGCGGCUCAACCGCAGACGGUCGUGGGAAACUGGAUGGCUAGAGUGCGGGAGAGGAGAGUGGAAUUCCCGGUGUAGCGGUGAAAUGCGCAGAUAUCGGGAAGAACACCCGUGGCGAAGGCGGCUCUCUGGAACGCAACUGACGCUGAGACGCGAAAGCGUGGGGAGCAAACAGG
rnacentral:rRNA from 1 species